GCAACAGUAGGGUGCUUGCAAGACCUGGAUUUGAUCCUCAGCAUCACAUAAAAAUAAAUAAACAAAAUACAGGUAUUGUGUCCAACUACAACUAAAAAAUAAAUAUAUUUUUUAAAAAAGUCUUCUAUUUGGGUAUGUAAUUCAACUGCGUGUGGAGAGGUGGUUAUCUUCACAGAGGGUGCCUUUUCAUUGAGUAUAUAUUGUUAAAUGCAACUUUAUUUUGAAAAAUUUAAAAAAGACCAUCUGUUAGGUAGGUGAUACACUAUUGUUUGUCUUUUUAUAAAAGAAAAUUGAAUAGUAAGGUUUUUUUGUUUGUUUGUUUAAGUUCAACAACCCUUAAGUUUAGGGUUGAGAUAUAGAGCAAACCUCUUUAGGACUGCUACCUAUCUCUUUACUAUUUAAGAUUUCUACGUUUGAAGGACCUUGCUUUUAUAAAAUUGACCAAAUGGGUGAAAUUCUCUCUCACAUAAGUGGCAAUUCCCAUAUGGCAUGUCCAUUCUUCCUUUACGGUUUCUCUAAUAUUUUAUACGACACAUGACUGACAAGUGAAGAGAAUAUAUCAAGAUGUUGUAUAUGUUAAAUAUUAGUGAAGUUUGGGAGUCAAAUAUAAGUGUAGUAAAUAAGUAUUUUCUUAAGCCUACUCCGUUUUGGAGGCCACAACCUUAAACAGUAUCCUACCACAUGUCAAAAAGUUGAUGAAUUUUUGAAGUCUAUCCAUGUUUAAAAUCUUACUGGUAGAGGUAGAGGAGUAGGAUUUAAGGUAAUUGCAAAAUUGUCUAAUCUGUACUUUUGUGACUGCAUACUAAUAUUAAAAGACAUGAAUAAGAACCUAAUAAGCAGUUCUGUCUUAAUUUGUUUGAAAAGUAAUUACCAUAAUUAUUGUAUGUUCAGAACAUUUGAAAUUUAUUAACAGUUCAAGUUAACAAAUCCCUGAUGGUUUCAUUACUUGAGGUUUUAACCAUUUCCCCCCUGUGCUUAUUAAGUAAUAGGAGUGAAACAUCCACAUCUGAUAACAUAGAAACUUACCAAGAGAAUACAAGGUAAGCUUUUUAAAAAUUUUGCUAAUUUAGCAGGUAAUAUCUAUUAUUUAUUAAAUAAUAAAUUUGUAAAAUAAAUUUUUAUUUGCUUAAAUCAACUUAACAACUAGAAGUUGUUAGUUUAAGAAAUAAACAGUAUAAUUUUUGUUUUUAAUAAUUUCAUUAAAUUUAGAAAGUUUAGCUAUUCUCUUUGACUGUGGUUAAAUUUCUUCCAAGCAUGAUUCAUAUAGAGUUUUCAAUGUUGAAUUGUUCCUUGAUGACUUUGAGAGGUAUCAAAACCUAAUAAUGCUUGAUCCUCAGAUUGUUUUGAAGUGCUUUAUUCUAGUGAUCAAUGUGUCUUUUUGCUUUAUCUGUAAAUUUUGUAUGUUUAAUUCCUAGGACCUGGAUUAUAUUAAAGAUAUAAUUUAUUAUUAUUAUUUCUACUGAGGAUUUAACCCUGGCAUGCUUUACCACUGAGCCCUAGCCCACUUCUUUUUAUUUUUUAUUUUGAAAACAGGGUUUUUUCUAAGUUGCUCAUGGCUGGUCUCAAAGAUGAGAUUCUACUGCUUCAACCUUCUGAGUUAAUGUGAUUACAGGCAUGGGCCUUUGUGCCUGGCUAAAGGUAUAAUUUUGGUAGAAAUCUUAGAAGUUUUAAAUUUUAGCAUCAGACACUGGUGCAUGCCUAUAAUCCCAGUGACUCAGGAGGCUGAGGGAGGAUCACAAGUUCAAAGCCAACCUCUGCAGCUUAGUGAGGCCCUAAAAAAAUUUUCAAGGAACACAAGAGUGACAUCUAUUAGCUUCAUAUUAAUGCUUGAUUCUAAAAAUUUGGACUUAACUACUUAAAAAAAGCUGUCUUUUUGUUGUUAUUGUUUUGAUCUAGGCAGAGUCCAUGAAAAAAAUUUAAUACUAUUUCUGUUAACUGAGUUUGUUUGAGAAGUUCUGUUCUAGAUCAUUUAUUGAAAACAUUUUGAAAAUGUGAGAAUCCUUCAAUAGUCUAAUGAUUAUAACUUUAAAAAAAUAAGCUCACAUUAGUCAAAAUAUAGUAGAGCUAAUUUUUUUGUUACGGUAUUGAAUUAAAUAUGCUUCAUUUACAAUUGUUUUGUAGUUCUGGGAAUCCCACCUUUAAGUGUCCCUUGUGUCAAGAGUCAAAUUUUACUAGACAGCGUUUACUUGAUCACUGUAACAGUAACCACCUAUUUCAGAUAGUUCCUGUGGUAAGUACAUGUUUAAGAUAGUCUUCUGCUUAAAGUAUGCUGCUCCAUUUAUUUUACUUUAUAUAUGCAAAAGGGAAGGCCAUUGAUAUAAAUUGGGAUAUAGAGCAUUAUCAGUAAGGUAGAUUUUUGUCAAUAAAUGAUUGAUAAAUCAAAUUUUAUUUGAGCCAAAAUGAAAUGUUUAGAAAUCCAAGGGAUAUGCUUAUUAUGAGAUAGGAUAGGACAGCCUGGAGAAGAGUAAAGUGAUGAAUGAGGUGAACAGGAAAUUCAUUGUUAAACAGUGACAGAACCUAAAUCUGUUGGGUCCUUUCAGUUUUUUUCUCUAUAGGAUGUAGAUGACAGGGUCCAAUCAGGUGGAUUUGUUGAAAGAAUAAACCCAACAGGUAUUUUUUAAAAAAUAUUUAUUUUUUAAUUGUAGUUGAACUCAAUAUCUUUAUUUAUUUUUUUUAUGUGGUGCUGAGGAUCGAACCCAGGGCCUCGCAUGUGCUAGGCGAGCGCUCUACUGCUAAGCUACAACCUCAGCCCCCCAGCAGGUAUUUUAAAUUCUAAAGCUUUGCAGAAUCUGAUACAUGAAUGCAUAAAGCAAGGAAGGAAAAGAACCAUACUUUCUUUUUGAUGCAGACAAAUCAUUUUGAUGUCAUUUUGAGGGUGAGUUAGAAAGUGAUGAGACCUUUUCAGUGAAUGAAGAAAAUAAAAGAGUAGCAGUGUGCAGGAUUCCAACAUUGUGUUAAUGGUCUCAGAACAGCUUAUUUUGAACACAGUUAAUAAGUGAUUUUAACUGUGGCUAAUGGAAUAGAAUGAACAGAACUGGAAGAGAUAUUUCUUUUUUAGCUAAGCUUUGUGUGUGUGUGUGUGUGUGUGUGGUCCUGGGGAUUAAACCCAGGGCUUUGUGCAUGCGAGGCAAGCACUCUGCUAACUGAACUAUAUAUAUAUCCCUGCCCAUAAGCAUUUUGAUACGUAAACAUUCUCUUCAGAAAUAAGAAUAGGAGGAAAAUUUAUCAGUAAAAACUUGUAGAUAUUUUUAAGCUUAGUGGAUUACUAGAAAAAUUUGUGAAAAAAGCAUGCCCCAAUAACUAUCGAGAAUUCCUUCCAACUCUUGCAUACCUACUUUGCUUUUUUAGAAGGGGAUCAGUUUCUGUUAAAUAAUAAUGCCAAGAAGUCUUCAGGAAAUCUCAUAUAUAAGAAAUUACACUUAGUUUUAUAUUGAAUUAGCAAUUUUUAUUCAUUUCUGCUUAAUAGUCACUCUAUUGUAAGCUUUGACUAGAGUCCAGUUACAAAAGUUCCUUUUUAUAUUAUUUAGUAUGUCAUCCAUUUGCUUUUAAAGAUGUACUUCAUUAAAAUUUUAAGAAUGCAAUUUAAAUUUCAUAAUUCACAUAAUUUUCAUUUUACAUGUAAAUGAAGCUAAUAAUAUCAUGGUAUUAUGUAGAUCGAAUGAGAUUAUUUACUACAUAGGCAAUUAAUGAUAACUAUCAUUACUGUUGGUGUUUUUAUAGACUCUGUUUCUAUUGAAAUAAUUGUGUAAUUGGAAAUUAAGUAAUAGAAUAUAAAAGGUCUCUUAUUGUAUUAGUGCAUUUUUUAAGGUACUUUGGGAAAUAAUCUAGUUAUGAAAUCUGGCCUUUAGAAAUGUUUUUCUUCAAGGGCUAGAAGUGUAGCUUGGUGGUAGAAGGCUUCCCUAGCAGGCUUGAAGCCCUAGGUUGGAUACCAGCAUCAUUAAAAUAAAAGGAAAUACUUUUCAGAUAUUUCAGUUUUGUUUUGUUUUUUUUUAGAGCACUGAAGUACAGCAAAUAUUGCAAUAAAACAAGUCACACAAAAUAUUUGAUUUUCCAUUGUAUAUAAAAGCUUAUUAUUAUGUGUUUACUGUGUCAAAAUAAAAAACAAUGUGCAUAGCUUAGUUUAAAAAUCUUUUUUUGCAAAAAAAGUGUAAGCAGAUAUUAUUUGAACUUUUGGAAAAAUGGUGCCAAUAAAAGUUGCUUAAACCUUCCAUUAUAUAAAGUUUGAUUGUUUUCAUAAUUUUUUUAUAUAAAACAAUCUGUUUUUCAUAGACAUGUCCUAUUUGUGUGUCUCUUCCUUGGGGAGAUCCUAGCCAGAUUACUAGAAAUUUCGUUAGUCAUCUAAAUCAAAGACAUCAGUUUGAUUAUGGAGAAUUUG
rnacentral:lncRNA from 1 species